UUGACCCGUCUGUAUUAACUGAACAACUCACCCAUAGGUCACGAGAUAUAUGGGAUGGCAAAGACAAUAUGGUUCUGAAUACGAGGAGGUGUGAUGGAAAGUUUUAGGACCUCGUAAAGAAACAUCCCAUCAAGCCAUGAGUUUUAGAAGUGAUUAGACUAUCUGGAUUGUACGGUGUUUAUAGAUCUCAGCGGCUUGUUGUUGACCGUAGUUUGAUCACUUCACUGGUGGAGAGAAGGCAUCCCGAAACUCAUACGUUCCACUUUAGGACGGGUGAGGCGACGAUCACCUUCCAGGAUGUAGAGGUGUUGUAUGGUUUACCCGUGAAUGGUAAUCCAGCACUUGGGAUUGAGCAGACAAGGGACAAAGUGCAUUGGCAAAGUAUUUGUGCAAGAUUAUUUGGUUUUAUUCAAGAUCCUGGAGACAUCAAAUAUAGUUGCCUCAAGAUACAUCUGGCAGUUACUUGAAGCUUAUGUACUUGCCUAUGCUCGAGGACGUUAAUGCUUUUGGGUCUUAUAGUUAGGGUAAUGUGACCCUUGCAUGCUUGUAUCGCUGUCUUUGUAAAGCCUCACAAGGUAACCAACAUGAGAUAGCAGAAUUCCUACCACUACUACAAGUUUGGGGAUAGGAGAGAGCUACUAUCCUCAGGCCCCAGAUAGUAGCACAAAGGGAUACGCAAAAUAUUUUUCCUGCCUGUUUACCUAGGGGUCCAUAUGCUACUAGAUGAUUUGCACGUUUUAGUUGGACCGGCACUACCAAGCCCGUGUUGAAAGUUUUUAGGGACGCACUUGAUUCUUUAACGGAGGAUCAGUUUAUCUGGGAACGAUAUUCUAAUGAAUUAAUUGAGAGCCUUCCCGAUUAUUGUCGCGUUGGACGAGAGAUAUGGUUUGCUAGAGUCAUAAUCUUUUGUUGGGAUGUGGUUAAGGUUCACUUGCCUGAUCGAGUUAUGAGGCAAUUUAGGUCGAUACAGGAGAUACCAACUCCAUUUCCAUUUGAUUCCACACAUUUUCACCACGAUCGUCGGGGAAGGCCGAAUACAAAUUGGGAGUUGGAGCAUGCACAAUGGUU